ACCUUCCAGUCGAAUUCGAAACGUAAUCUCUGAUGUUUGUGUUGAUGUCUGUGAUGAGGCUUGCCGUUUAAAUUGAAAAUAUGUGCGCGCACACACGGACAGCGGUGAUGCUCAAGGUGUUGGAUAGAAAAACCUUUCUCUUUUUAUGGUUUUUGAGAAAGUGCUAUGAAGAAGCAGAAUCAACAGGGGCCGAAGUAAUGACGGAAAACUGAACUGUUUGUUGUGUCAUCAGGCAGACAGCAUUACCAGAUGUGAUCCAAUAAACUCCAAGAGCAGCACACACAAAUUGGAAGAUGGAAUUGUUGUCCUGUUGAAAAGCUUUUGAAGAAAGAGACAAUGCAGCAGUGAAACAUCUGGAGCAAACUUCAACCAACACUGACAAUCAAGAUUGUGUGGCUUGGUCAGUUUGGCUUCAAAAAAAUUGGGGAAAAAACCUUGUUAAUAGCAGAUAAUGCAUAUUCACAUUUAAAGCCACCACUUUGCUAUAAGCUUUACUUCAG